rnacentral:rRNA from 1 species
UAUUAUUUAAUGUGUAAUUUUUAAUACCAAAGUAGUAAAAGUUAAGGUCUUCAAACUUAAAGAAUUUGGCGGUGUUUUAGUCCAUUCAGAGGAAUCUGUCCUGUUAUUGAUAUUACACGUUUGGUUUAACUUGAUUUAUUAGUUUGUAUAUCGCCGUCGUAAGAAUAUGUUGUUGAGAUAUUAAAAUUUCUUUUUGCUAGAUGAAGAUUGAUGUCAGGUCAAGGUGCAGCUUAUAAUUAAGUGGAGAUGGAUUACAAUAAAGUAAUUUAUUGGAUAUGGAUUUUAAAUGAUUUAUUGAAAUUGGAUUUGAUUGUAACUUUAUUUUAAUUAUUAAUUUGAUUUAGGCUCUAAAAUGUGUACAUAUCGCCCGUCGCUCUCGUUAUUGUAAUGAG